UGCUGUUUUCGUUUCCGUGCUGUUCGAAUUGUUGCCGAGGUGUUGGAUUAUAUUUGUAGAUAACGGACGAACGGUUUUCGGCCCCCUUCAGUUAGAUGUUGGAUGCGUUUCUUAUCCAGUAGCUGGAUGUUCAGUUUUGGACGGUUUAGAUGGAUUUCUAGCUGCUUGCUACCUCGAAUUAGGUGGAUUGGGAGGCGGUGCUACGGGGGUUUUGACUUGUUUUGUUGGUUUGUGCGAUAUGCUAGUAGUUGGCUAGGAUGUGUUUAGCUGCAAGACUGAUAGCUUGCUCGAGCACAACCAUUAGGAUUGAUUGUGCGGGGUGGAUGGGGCGUGCAUGACUGCUGUUGUCUCCACUCUAGGAUCGCUGGAAAGAGGCCUUUUGGCCCUCUAUUAAAAAAAAAAACAGAACUGAAACUCUGAUCUGUUGUCCUUUUCUUGAUUGUGCUUGCUUGUUUGGUUAAAGUUUCAGGGUGUAUGAAUCUCAUGCAUGUGUCAAACAUACAAAUCUUCCUAUGAAAAAGAGUAGAUGUUUUCUUUUCCAGACGUUCGAGAGUAAAAUUAUAUGCCAUGGAGAUGCGUAAGAAGUAGUGUUUUUGUUGGGAAGUGGGAGCAAGGUAAAGUAG
rnacentral:sRNA from 1 species